AACAUGCCUUGGCCCAUUCACGGCAGUU
rnacentral:sRNA from 1 species